UGGGGAAUUUUGGACAAUGGGCGCAAGCCUGAUCCAGCAAUGCCGCGUGCAGGAAGAAGGCCUUCGGGUUGUAAACUGCUUUUGUACGGAACGAAAAGGACUGCCCUAAUACGGCGGUUCGAUGACGGUACCGUAAGAAUAAGCACCGGCUAACUACGUGCCAGCAGCCGCGGUAAUACGUAGGGUGCGAGCGUUAAUCGGAAUUACUGGGCGUAAAGCGUGCGCAGGCGGUGAUGCAAGACAGUUGUGAAAUCCCCGGGCUCAACCUGGGAAUUGCAUCUGUGACUGCAUCGCUAGAGUACGGUAGAGGGGGAUGGAAUUCCGCGUGUAGCAGUGAAAUGCGUAGAUAUGCGGAGGAACACCGAUGGCGAAGGCAAUCCCCUGGACCUGUACUGACGCUCAUGCACGAAAGCGUGGGGAGCAAACA
rnacentral:rRNA from 1 species